AACGAUCUGCUCAGCCUGGACUGAACAACGCCACCGGCACUCACCGGCCUGCCGCGCCAGCCCGGGGCCGGCUGCUUGCUGUACACAGCGCUCAGCCAGGCUGCUGCAGCCUGCAAACCCGGACCCUGCUUUGCACAGGUGGCUGCGACCACUCUGCUGACCCCCUGCGAGCCACGGGAGACCUCUCUCGUGUCCGUGGGCCUUCUCAGACGACCUGCUCAGCCUGGACUGAACCAGCAGCACAGCCCCAUCGCAUCAUUGCCACGUCAAGUCCACCGCCUGGCUGCGACUCCCUCUUUUCCCGUCGAUGCUUCGAGAGCGCAAACGUUGAGACUCUUAACCGGGAUGGUUUGUGUGAUGCCAUCGUGAAGUGCUAAGGAACUCUGGAGUGGAGGCAAAACCUGCUGUUGAGUAGCUGUGACUGUAUGAGUGUCCCUGCUUUUGCUUGUGACCCCUGGUUUAGG